rnacentral:rRNA from 1 species
AGCGAACGCUGGCGGCAUGCUUAACACAUGCAAGUCGCACGGAUCUUUCGGGAUCAGUGGCGGACGGGUGAGUAACGCGUAGGGAUCUAUCCAUGGGUGGGGGACAACUCCGGGAAACUGGAGCUAAUACCGCAUGAUACCUGAGGGUCAAAGGCGCAAGUCGCCUGUGGAGGAACCUGCGUUCGAUUAGCUAGUUGGUGGGGUAAAGGCCUACCAAGGCGAUGAUCGAUAGCUGGUUUGAGAGGAUGAUCAGCCACACUGGGACUGAGACACGGCCCAGACUCUGCGGGGAGGAGGAGGGGGGAAUUUUGGAAAAAGGGCAGAAGCCCUGACCAACAAAGGCGGGGGGUGGAAAGAGGUUCUCGGGUUUGAAAAGCCUUUCGGAGGGGGAGGAUGAGGCGGUUCCCGGAAAAAAAGCCCCCGCCAACCUUGGGC